UACGAAGGGGGCUAGCGUUGUUCGGAAUUACUGGGCGUAAAGCGCACGUAGGCGGGUCGUUAAGUCAGGGGUGAAAUCCCAGAGCUCAACUCUGGAACUGCCUUUGAUACUGGGUAUCUGGAGUAUGGAAGAGGUGAGUGGAAUUCCGAGUGUAGAGGUGAAAUUCGUAGAUAUUCGGAGGAACACCAGUGGCGAAGGCGGCUCACUGGUCCAUUACUGACGCUGAGGUGCGAAAGCGUGGGGAGCAAACAGG
rnacentral:rRNA from 1 species